ACCACACCCACGCUUGAGCUCAAAAUCCCUAUACGCCUCCACCAUUUCUCCACCCGCCGCUCCUCUUCCCCUUCAAAACACACCCACGCGUUUCACCCACGCCCUUCUUCCCCUUCUUCGCCAUCUUCUUCAGUGUUUGCUCCGCCUUCUUCUCCAGCCGCCGCUCCUCCUCCGCGGCCUUCCACUCUUCUAGCCAUCGCCGAUUCUCUCUAGCUCUAGAUCUCUCUGUCGCUCUUUCUCUCUCUAGCCACUGAAUUUCACCGUCGCCGACGCCGAUUCUCGCUUUUGCCGCCGCCGGUCAACACCUCCUCCUUCUUUCCGAUAUCAGUUAUGUCUACUCGUAAGAGAAAGCUAUCGUUUAGUUCUGGUUCAAAAUCCAAAUCCGCUCCAUCUCUGCGGGAUGUUGAGGCAUCUCUUUGGACUCCUUCAGUGGCAUCUUUAGGCACAUUAGGCUCAUCCACAUCUUCACGAGCAGAUAAUGAGUCAUCUCAUGAUCAUCAACAAUUGCAUGAGGAUCAACCUCCGGAGAUUCUACGUUUCAAUACACCAUGGUCAACAAAUGUUUGAGGACCAACUACAUGUCAAGGAAUUAACAAGUUAGUGUCCAAGAAAGGAAAGCUUCAAGUACAAUUUAGGGAAUCUGAGCUCCGAGUUUACGGGGAGCAUGCGGGCCGAUUUGCGAGCAAAAUCGGUUCUAUAGUUCGUCACCAUGCUCCAUUAAAGUAUAGUGGUUGGGGUAAGAUUCCUGAAAACGAACAGAAUGAAUGCAUAAGACGAUUGAAGGUAAAAUUUUCUAUUGUAACUUAUUCUUUAUAACGAUUGCACUUAUGUAAAAACAAAUUUAGCAACUUUUUUUUCUUUAAGAUCUAUUUAAUUUAGAUUUUGAGGCGCAUCCACAAUUGAAAGACAUUGUGCAUCAAUAUUUCUAUGAGCGCUUUAAAGGUUAUCGAUAUCGGUGCCACCAAAAAUAUCAAGCCAUUAUUGAUGAAGGAAAAGAUCCAUUGCAACAUUUACUGAAUCCAUACAUUAAAUCAGAUGAUUGGGAGUGGAUGUGCACGAAUUGCUUUGGCGAUGAUCAAUGCUAGAAAAUAGCACAGGUUGCUGCUGAAAAUUAUUCUAAAAAGCCAACAGGUUAUUUGGGUGGCUCAAGAUCUAUAGUUCAACAUUUGGAGGAAGUCCAUAACACACAUUCAAGUUCUGACUCAAAUGCUUCGGGAGGGUAUUUUGAGGUCUUUAAGAACACUCAUUGGAGCGAAUCACGGGGAUGGAGAACUGAGAGAACAAAGGAAGAUUAUGUAAGAAUUAUUAAACACUUUAUCAUUUCGUUUGAUUUUGUAUUUUUUUUACUCUAACUUGAGUUUAUAACACUUUGCCUAAUGCAAGAACAAAUGAUUAAGAUCCGCAAUGCUCGUUUAAGUGAAGUAUUAGAGGGGUAAGAACUUGACUCUGAUGCAGAGGAAGAAAUUUACUCUCAAGUUUUGUCAAGUGAGAGGUAUGAAAAAUAUGGUUUUAAGCGUGACAUAGGCCCUGUACUAAAAAAAGCGCCACAAGGUCGCAAAUCUAGAGGGUUAGGAUAUGAAAAGCUUGAAAAUGAAGUUCAGGAAAAUAAACGUCGUAUGUCGGAUAUGAAAAUUCUAAUAAAGCAACAACAUGAGCUUAUUCAAAAGUUAUUUUAACAGAUAAAUCCGCCGUCCGAUCAUCCUGGACCUUCCGUUCCAAGAAUAGAAUAUCCACCGCUACCGCCACCACCAGCCUCAAUUUGUUAGAGCGUUUAAUUUUUGUAAUAUUAAGAUUUUAUUAGUACAAUAUUUGCAUAAAUGUUUAGGUUUGUUUAAGUAUCAUUAUUUUAGUAUUUUGUUUGGAUUAUAAUAUGUAUUGAAAUAUUUAGAGAUUUUUAAA